AUGCUUCCAAAUGCAAGAAGGAAGAAAGACCACACGGAGACAGACGAGAGGUUGCUGAGAGCACCGUGCCCAAGCCGUGCCAGAGCCAGAAUACCAGACAGGGUGGCUGCGCCAGCACUCGCUUGUCAUCUCAGUCCUGGAGGCUGGCAGUGUGAGGUAUGGCUGCUCCGGAGGGAGCCCUCUCUCCUUGGCUUGCAGAUGGGCCUUCCCCGUGUGUCCUGCUCACCCCUCAUGGUGACCUCGUGUUACCUCAAUCACCUCUUGAAAGGCUCCAUCUCCAAAUACAGUGACAUUCUGGGGCGCUGGGGGGGGGGGGAGGGAGGGAGGGAAGGAAGGGGAAGAAACUGAGGUUUCUUCGUGGUCUGUCUUCCUCUGCAGACGGGCUGGAAGGAAGGAGACAUACAGCCAUUCUCAGACGGAGGGAUGACGAGGAGAUCGUGCUGCCAACCACACUUGUCUCUAAAGAGUGGCCAAAGGAAGUUCCCUAAGAGUAAGAAAUUAUGAUGGAAAAGGUCUCCUGGAACCUUAGGAAGGAGCCAAGAGCAUUGGCCUGGUAAAACCAGGGGUAAGUCCAUCAGACGAUCCUUCUCAUGAGGUUUCCAAAUCAUACUUGAUGGUUGAGGCCAAAACUGUUAACAGUAUGGGAUGUGGUGCUUACUAGAGUUGUCUGCCUGUCUCUCUGUCUUUCUCUCUCUGCUCCCAGUUGCAAAAGACACCCCUUCUUUUGUUUCCCCAUGCCCUAAUGAGACUCCCUUCUCACGACCUUGAAAGUGUCCUGAGCCCGAGGCAGGGGCCACUCUUCUGUCUCCCUAUAACUCCAUGACCCAUUUCUGGGUCCAGGGUGGUCUUAUGCCCACAGUCCCCUUAUACUUCUCUGUCUUUUGGAUCAUUUCUAGGUGGCAUUUCCUAACCCGGAGGAGAAAAGCUCGCCAAUUCAGCACGGCAGCUGGUGAAUCAACAAAUGCAGGCAUUUACUGAGACUUCUGUCCCCUCUGGGGAAGCACCCUGCUCCCAAUCCCUGAGCUUCCCGGGCUGAUUCCUCCCAGUGUGGUGGGGGUGGCUCAGGGCUGACCAGUCAUUGUGUCCUGGCCCCUGGCUGCAGAGAUCUGGAGAUCUGGUGGGGAAUCACCAGGGGACAGGAGGGUGGGGAGAGGGUCCCAGAUGCUUGUGGGAGCUGUGGGGGGUGGGGGUAAGAGAAGCUGCCGCUGCUGGGGACCAUCUGUCCUUACCUUAGGAGGGGAGAAGAUGCAAAAGCUGAAGGACAGAGACACUGAUGUGUUGAGCCGCCCCCAUCCCCAAGCACACCUGGCCUUUCAACAAGGUGAACCCCAAGGACAACAAUCUAGAGGCAGCACGAGGAUUCUCACUUGGCAGGUGCAGAAACAGUCCAAAGAAAGAGUUCUUUUGAGUUCUGCUUCUGGGAUCUCACCACUGGACAGGCUUAUUCAAUCAAGCCCCUUCCUGCCCCUGGUACUUUCUCGGUAGUUGACCCCCACGUCUGUGGCAUAGAUCUAAAGCUAGUGCUGCCAGACAAAAUACAGGAUGCCCCCUUAAAUUUGAAUUUUGGAUGAACAAUGAAUAAUUUCUUAGCAUAAGUAGGUCUCAUAUUGCAUGGACAUAUGUAUACUAAAAAGUAUGUUGCUUAUCUGAAAUUCAAAUUUCACUGGGCAGGUCAGGCUUUUGUUUGCUUAAACUUAAUAGCACUGUCUAAGGCGCAAAGGGAGAUGCAGCAAAAAGGGGAAGGCCACCUUCCUAGGAGGAGCAGAGUUAGGUCAGGGGGUUGGACGCAAGAAGCAGUCUUGAAGAAUCAUCCUCCUGUCUCCUGCCAGAGUGCCCACAUCAGCCAUAAAGGUGGUCAUCACAACGUUUUGCCCGUCAGGUCAAGUGAAAACGUGACCUGGAGUGAAAAUGUAUUAACCAUCAACAGUCUAGUGUGAAUUAGUUUACAAAAAUGUGCAUUUAGGGCAGCCCCAGUGGCCCAGUGGUUUAGCGCCGCCUUCAGCCUGGGGUGUGAUCCUGGAGACCUGGGAUCGAGUCCCACAUCAGGCUCCCUGCAUGGAGCCUGCUUCUCCCUCUGCCUGUGUCUCUGCCUCUCUUUCUCUGUGUCUGUCAUGAAUAAAUAAAUAAAAUCUUUAAAAAAAAAACAAAAACAAA
rnacentral:lncRNA from 1 species